UAAGGGAAUCUUCGGCAAUGGACGGAAGUCUGACCGAGCAACGCCGCGUGAGUGAAGAAGGUUUUCGGAUCGUAAAGCUCUGUUGUAAGAGAAGAACGAGUGUGAGAGUGGAAAGUUCACACUGUGACGGUAUCUUACCAGAAAGGGACGGCUAACUACGUGCCAGCAGCCGCGGUAAUACGUAGGUCCCGAGCGUUGUCCGGAUUUAUUGGGCGUAAAGCGAGCGCAGGCGGUUAGAUAAGUCUGAAGUUAAAGGCUGUGGCUUAACCAUAGUACGCUUUGGAAACUGUUUAACUUGAGUGCAAGAGGGGAGAGUGGAAUUCCAUGUGUAGCGGUGAAAUGCGUAGAUAUAUGGAGGAACACCGGUGGCGAAAGCGGCUCUCUGGCUUGUAACUGACGCUGAGGCUCGAAAGCGUGGGGAGCAAACAGGAUUAGAUACCCUGGUAGUCCACGCCGUAAACGAUGAGUGCUAGGUGUUAGACCCUUUCCGGGGUUUAGUGCCGUAGCUAACGCAUUAAGCACUCCGCCUGGGGAGUACGACCGCAAGGUUG
rnacentral:rRNA from 1 species